AUUAGAUAAUUCGAAUAUCAAAGUAAUAAUAUCGUGGAUAUUAUUGAGUACCGCGUUUUUUGCUCUUUCGAAUUCGUUGGAGACUGAAGAACAUCUCGAUGUCAUAAAUCAGCACCCUGGCUGUCAAGGAAGAAAAUGUCAAAUUGUCGAAGUAAAAUUUUUAAAAAGGCAAAAACGAUCGGCUGAGGUGUUCGAUCUCAAUAUAGGGAUUGAACUUAAUGGCAAGAUGGAAGUUUUCCAUCUAAAGGCAUCGAACGGUAUUCUGGUUACCCCAAAAACUCCAGUAUAUUAUGUAUCAUCGGACAGGAAUGGUA